rnacentral:rRNA from 1 species
AUGGCGACCGGCGCACGGGUGAGUAACACGUAUCCAACCUGCCGAUGACUCGGGGAUAGCCUUUCGAAAGAAAGAUUAAUACCCGAUGGCAUAGUUCUUCCGCAUGGUAGAACUAUUAAAGAAUUUCGGUCAUCGAUGGGGAUGCGUUCCAUUAGUUUGUUGGCGGGGUAACGGCCCACCAAGACUACGAUGGAUAGGGGUUCUGAGAGGAGGGUCCCCCACAUUGGAACUGAGACACGGUCCAA